rnacentral:rRNA from 1 species
GUAGGUGGCAAGCGUUGUCCGGAAUUAUUGGGCGUAAAGCGCGCGCAGGCGGCUCUUUAAGUCUGAUGUGAAAGCCCACGGGCUCAACCGUGGAGGGUCAUUGGAAACUGGAGAACUUGAGUACAGAAGAGGAAAGCGGAAUUCCACGUGUAGCGGUGAAAUGCGUAGAGAUGUGGAGGAACACCAGUGGCGAAGGCGGCUUUCUGGUCUGUAACUGACGCUGAGGCGCGAAAGCGUGGGGAGCAAACAGGAUUAGAUACCCUGGUAGUCCACGCCGUAAACGAUGAGUGCUAAGUGUUAGGGGGUUUCCGCCCCUUAGUGCUGCAGCUAACGCAUUAAGCACUCCGCCUGGGGAGUACGGCCGCAAGGCUG